UUAUGAUCACAUUUUGGUGAAUGGGCCCACAUGCCCAAAACAAAAAGAUAGCCACUUUCCUCUGUUAAAAAAAAUCAAUUUGAAAUAUAAAAUAGAAUGGAUUAAUAGAGUAAAAUAUCUCUCCCAAAGACCUUGUAAGUAGCAAUGAUCCUGGGACAUUUUUCUUAUUAAUGAGUGAUGAAGCGAAUAAUUAGAUUUCCUAAUUAUGGGGGCCCAGGUGUAAUGGAUUCAAAGCAAACGCGCUGGAUUGGAAUGGCAGGGCCUCUCCUGGAUGUUAUACUUAUUUAAUCAAAUAAUUAAUCAUCAACAGGGAGUUUCCAGGCUCGGGGUCGUCAAGGAUAACCUAUCGAGGUUUUAGAGGUAAACCCUACAAACUGAGUUUCCCUCGCUCCCCGCCGAGGAGCCAGGCAGCGGAGUGCAUAGAGGGGAAGGUAGCAACGUGCUGACUGACAACUUAAUCCUCCGAAUUCGCGGGGAAUUCGGUAGAUCAUCCGCGUCGCUGCGAGCAGUUUUGUGGGGUUUGGGGAAAAGGGUGAAGUGACUCUGCUAUUUCCCCCUUUCGUCUCCCGCGUGGACACUCGCAGCCUACCAACUUCAGCUUCGAAACUCGUCUCCCUUUUCCCAGGUUUCCUUGCACCCUUCCUGGCUGUUCAUCGGCUGCGUAUUCGAUUCUCAGCAAAAGGAUGUUGAGACAACCCACCAGGCCUCUUCGCUUCGGCCUCUUCGCUUCGGGGAGGCGACUAGAAGGCAAUGGGGCGUGCCACUUAUUUCCAAUAAAAGAACAGAAGACGAAAAUGUAGAUGCAUUAUCUUUGUCUCCUGAUCAAUUCAAAGCCAAAGGGAAGCUACAAAUCAGGUUCCUUUACCUUGAAUAUUCCACUUCUGAAACAUUGUUUUUAUGAGUAUUCUGGGCUCUUUUUCUAACCUGAUCCUUUUUCUUCUUUCUUUGAAACAAAGUAAAAUAAAGCUGCCCAGUUCUCAGCUCACAGGCAAAUGAUUUGAGCUUUCUGCCCCAACCCUAAACUCCCAC
rnacentral:lncRNA from 1 species